rnacentral:sRNA from 26 species
CCGCGUGAGGGAUAGCAGCGGAAAUCCUUUUUUUGAGGCUUUUCGCCGAUAAAAAAGAUUGUAGCGCAUAGCCCGACCCGAC